GUGUACGAGCCGUCGUCCGAGUGUGUAACGCCUGCGAUCGUUCCCAGUGUUCGAAAGGACAAAAGGAUUACUAUGCCAGGACAUUUCCCACCCCCUUCAGGACCCCAGUGACUAGUGCCACAGUGAUUAUUACAACCACCCCCUGGAUUGGUGAGGUGUGGUGGAGGGAGGACUACACAACAAGCUACACAUUACAAGUUGUGUGCGAGCGAUCACACGUGACCACGAAGAGCGCGUCGGACCGGUUCCGCUUUGUGUGAUAGUUGUAAUCGAGUACAAUGAGUCGUCGAGCCCUGGUCGAAAUGGGGGGACUUCGGGUGUUUGUGUGAUAGCGAGCGAACAAAGCAGCAGCGAGGGAGGGGCCGGGUCUACAUCGAAAAGGACGACAUUCUCGCGGUGGGGGAUUCCGAGGGCAGUGAAGUGCAUUUAAUGAUGGGCAGACCCAUGAUGACCUGCGGCUUACUGCACCAAGAUAACGCCAAGUGAUUGAUGUGGGUGAUGGUGUGACCCGCAAAGUGAAGGGCUUUGUGCUCUGGGAGGGCGGCUUCAAAGGAAUUAUUAUGGAUUUUUUUUUUCGGUGAGCAGAAGUUGGCUGAUAGCGUCAGCUGGUAUACAACACGAUUUAAACAACUGGCUGCCCGGAAAGUAACAGAAAGCAACUCUGCAACAUAUUGGUCGGUCGGUCCAUCGGUCGGUCGGGAACUGAUCAAACCGCUACUACGGGUAGCUUCACAUCGCAGUCCCAGCAAAUAAGCGAAACCGUCAAUCUUCUUGUGCUCCCCAUAUGCAUGGACGGGGUUUACAAUCCACAACGAAUACACCGAGAAUCGCUAGAGGCAGAAGUGGGGUUGAGGGUCGAGUGCGAUACAACGGAGUGAUUGCUGGCGGAAAUGCAUUUUUACGUCGCCUCCGGUGGUGGAAUGUGAUUUCCAUGUCUGAUGAGUUUCACGCUUUCGCGGUUGGUUAGUUUAGUGCAUCAAGCAUCAAAGCGGGGCCCACCCCGAGUCGGUUACACUAUUAUCCCUAGUGUGGUGAAGUUCAUUAUAUGGUGUCGGUUUGGGGCUUCUUUUACGCCUUUCGGUUAUACGACGCCGCCAUCGGGUCAAAGUGAGUGAAGUUAAACAGUCAACAAGUUCUGAAGAAUCGCAGUUUGGACGAGUUCAUCUCCGUAAACUGGAAAUUCGCUUCGAUUCAUUACGCAGGAAUUGAGUGGUGGUUGGUUAUCGUCGUCGUCGUAUUCUGUGUGGGAAGCCAUUGGGGAAGAAAUACAAAGUUUUGUGAGAGUUGGUUUUGUGAACAACAAAUUGUUCAAACGAGUGGAAAAAUUCGAUGGUGGAAUGAAACGCUGUUAAUUACAAGAACCGGUCUAGAGGAAAACUUUCUCCCCUUGAAAUCGAGGUGCGAGGCGGUAAUAUUAGUCAUCGAUCGAUCCGUGGCGAGUUUGGAUUGGAUGGAGCAGUGAGAACGUCAAUCUCGUCGUCGGACACGAAGAAGAUCAUGCUUCCGAUUCGCGGAGCCUCCUGGGAUGGAACUAGACCGAAAGUCAUCAGCAACGUAGCGACCACCGCGAUCCGGAUUGUCCAACGUGUCCAGAAUGCUAAUCAGGUCUCCGGCGUGGAAAGAUGCUUUUGCCACUACGACUGUCCCCGUGCCGCUGUCAGCCAAUUUUCUCAUCGGCGUGCCCAGAAGACUUAAACCGGUGGCCGGAAGUGAGCGGAAGGUGUGACCCUGUAGUAGGCAAAGUAGUGCCAGUUGUAGAAGUAGUACCAGUAGAUGGCUCACUGUUGGAUGCUGCGGCGUGACUUCCGGUGAUGUCCACCCGCGCCGCCAGAAGGAAGGAGAACAAAUCGAAUUAAUCAAACCACGGCCAGCUGCUGAGCUGAGGGAGUUUCGGGUUUGCUGCUGUAGAGAAAAAAAUUACGCGUGCGGCGUUGAAGGCUCGAUUUCAGGUCAAGCCAUCUCCGGAGAGGUACUUUGCCACACGAGCUGCCAACUUCGCCGUGCAUCAUCGGAUAUUGUGAUUAACUUUGUGCGACAAAGCGAGAAAACUGAAAGACAAGAAGGGAAAAAAUCAUAAAAAAAAACCUAAUCAAGAAAGGCUCUCCCAAGGGGACCACAAGUCAAGUUCGGCAAGGACACGCCGAAAAAGGAGAGCCAAGUGUGGGCACGUGUCGAAACCUUGAAGAGCUCUCAAAACGCGCAGAAUAGCCAUCAUCAUUCCGGUAAGACUGUAGAUACAUGUAAACGAAAUCACGAAAGCACUCUCGACAGCUUUCGUCGUAAAAAAGAAAAAAUAAACACUACAACAACAGCAACAGACAGACCAACCACAAACACACACAUAGACCAACGGAAGGACCAGAAGGAGGUGGUCGAAGGAAAAUGAAUCUUAUGAACAUGGACUCGGAAAACCGAGUGGUGCUGAACGUGGGUGGCAUCCGGCACGAGACCUACAAGGCGACGCUGAAGAAAAUCCCCGCCACCCGGUUGUCCCGCCUGACGGAGGCCCUCGGCAAUUACGACCCGGUGCUGAACGAGUACUUCUUCGAUCGGCAUCCGGGGGUGUUUGCACAGGUGCUCAACUAUUAUCGGACGGGGAAGCUGCAUUACCCCACCGAUGUUUGCGGACCACUUUUUGAGGAGGAACUAUCCUUCUGGGGUUUAGAUUCCAACCAAGUAGAACCGUGCUGCUGGAUGACGUACACACAGCACCGGAAUACGCAGGAAACGUUGGCUGUUUUAGAUAGGCUAGAUUUAGAUACGGAAAAACCUACCGACGAGGAGGUAGCGAAAAAGUUCGGUUUCGAAGACGCUUACAAUAAGGGCAAGGUGAACUGGUGGCAGCACCUGAAGCCGCAGAUGUGGUCCCUGUUUGACGAACCAUACAGCUCCAACGCCGCCAAGAUAAUCGGCAUCAUAUCAGUAUUCUUCAUCUGUGUAUCGAUCAUAUCAUUCUGCCUGAAAACGCACCCGGACAUGCGGGUCCCGUACAUCCGCAACAUCACGGUCAAAACGGCAAGCCAAAACACAUCCUGGGUGCUGGACAAAACGCAAACCAAUGCCCACGUGGCGUUUUUCUACAUCGAAUGCGUGUGUAACGCGUGGUUUACUUUCGAGAUAAUGGUGCGGUUCAUUUCGUCCCCGAGUAAGCUUAGGUUCAUCACAUCGUCUGUAAAUAUCAUCGACUACAUCGCUACGUUAAGUUUCUUUAUCGAUCUGAUACUGCAGCGGUUCGCGUCCCACCUGGAGAACGCCGACAUCCUGGAGUUCUUCUCGAUCAUCCGUAUCAUGAGAUUGUUCAAGUUGACGCGGCACUCGUCCGGAUUGAAGAUUCUCAUUCAAACUUUUCGGGCCUCGGCCAAAGAGCUGACGCUGCUAGUGUUUUUCUUAGUUCUAGGUAUCGUGAUAUUCGCCAGCUUGGUGUACUAUGCCGAGCGGAUACAGAUCAAUCCGCACAACGACUUCAACAGCAUACCGCUGGGGCUGUGGUGGGCCCUGGUCACGAUGACCACCGUCGGGUACGGGGACAUGACCCCGAAGACCUACAUCGGGAUGUUUGUGGGUGCGCUGUGUGCCCUGGCCGGUGUGCUGACGAUUGCCCUGCCCGUACCCGUCAUCGUGAGCAACUUUACGAUGUACUACUCGCACACGCAGGCCCGUGCCAAGCUGCCGAAGCGAAGACGUCGCGUGUGCCCGGUGGAGUUAUCCCGACCGCCGCGGUUGCCAGGUCAAGGUGGCCCAGGAGGUGUGUGCGCCAAUACCGGAUCCGGAAAGCUUCCCUCUUCCAACGCACCCAGCACCGGAAGCAUGGAUCAAACCAUUCGGCGCAUGAACGCCAACCGCACCAUCUCCAAAGACGUCAUCCUGCCAAAGAUGGCACGAUGGGAUGACAACCUGUAGGUAUUUCGUUGUGUGAUCGUGAUCCAAUGCUGGGCUCAAAAGUUGCCGGUGUGCUGUUCUGCUUCCUUUGGCCACACACUAGUCUUUCCAUUAUGAUGACACAUGCCUGCAUGUCUGUGUUCAGCUUCACAUCCGCCGGUCCUGAAACAUCUGUGUAAAAAAUUCACUCAAACAUAAACCAACCGAAGAAUCGAGCAUCCUGUGACGGUGGCUUCUAACCCAACGCUAAUGGAAUCCAGAGGAAAUAAAAGCUCCGAAUCGGUUUCGAUGACGACGACCAAGGAGAGAAGAUUCCAUUUCGGUGGAAUUGAUUUGAAUUCUUCCAAGUCACGUGCUUAUCCAACGACCAACCGUGCCCCAACUGGAAAUAUCAUCUUCGGUUCGGUUUCGUCGUUUAUCAAAUUGGAAGAAUGUUCUCCCACUUGCAUUCCUUUUGGCAGCUUCCACGUAAAAGUACAAAAAAAAAAAACAAACUGAAACACUUUUGAAUCUGGAACGCCGAAAGGGAGAUACUUCAUUCCAUUCAUCACUAUGCCAACUGUACACCAACCACGCAACACAAGAGCAUGUCGAAUGAAACACCUUCAUUUUGGGAGAUUUUACAGAAUAAAAAAACAGCACACAUACCUAUCGGCACACAUACAGCAAUGCAAACACACACACAAAAACGGCUGUAUCGAAUGAUUGUUCUGCCGUUUCUGAGAAACAGUACGCCAAGCCACCCAUCAUCGACAGAAAUGUAAGCAGACAGGCAAGCAGGCAGGCAGGCAGCCAAUAAUCCACCACCAUUCGGCAGAAACUAAAGACCCAGUCGGCAACGUUUGAGAGGACCUGAUCACGGGGGCUCCUCCAGGGGAAAACGGAUCCGCAUCGAUGCGUUCUUUUAAUCCGCGACCCGGAGAUGUCACUUCACCACAACCGACAACUGCCAGCAACAACAACAGCUCCUCUACCACCACCCUAACCAUUACUAAUACUACUACAGCAAGUAUCGCUUCGGCCCUUCGCCGGGCGUCUCUCGGUAAAAUCGUAAAGGAUCGCAAACUCAAAAAUAGUUAAUCUCAUCGCUACACCAAAGCUCUACCCUACAUAGUAAUCGAACUACAAGCAUAUAACUAUUCAAACAAAUGCAAUAUGAAGCGGUUCGCGUGGUGCGGGCGUUGUUCUCAGUUGUGGAUUUUUUGUCGGAUAUAGCUUUUUCGGGGGGAGCCUUUUUGAAGCUCGGCUCGGACAAACGAGGAUAACGAAACGGUUUUAUGCGUGUUUACUUGCUACUUCACUAGCACCACCACCACACACACACACACACCGCUCUGCCUUCACUUUCUUUAACGAUUGCUGUUUAACUGACGCAAACAAGUGAUAGAAUGCUACGCGCGGAUGCAAACUUUGUUUUAUAAAGUUGAUUGUUUUCUCGAGCAGCUGAGCAAACGUAACGCUCGAUUCUCUAUGAUAGUAGCAUAGCUCCGUCUUUCCCUCGUUAAAUGUUAUCGGUGUUCAUAGGUUUUUAAGUAAUUCUCAAAAAAUUUGUGUUUAUUUUUGUUGAACAUUCUUUUCAUACAAAACAUGAAACGCUUACUACCAAUUGAAUGAUGUACAGCUAUAAAAAUCGAACUAAAGUAGUUUUAAUCUAAUGAAAAUACUCUAUGACUGUAUAUAAACUAAGAAACACUUAAAUCUUAGCAUAAAGUAAUAAAAUCAACCAAACAACAACAAAAAAUCGAAACAAACAAUUGUAUAUUUUAGAAAAGAGGCAAAACGAAAAGUGAUAUCAUGUUAAUUUUAAAUUGAAGAAAUUGAAGCUCUUAUACUGAUUACAUCGUUAGAACCGAAUUGGAAUGGUAGCAAUCACUUUUUCCCCUCGUUUCGAUUCAAUUUAGUUUGAGACUCUCGUUUCCUAUUUCAUUAAGGACUUUCAAAGCUAAUCAAUACCAAAGGAAUACAUUCUCAAAAGGCUUGUAAAUAAAGAGAAACUGUGGUUAUCAGCUAUUUAUCCCGAUUGAGAUAAAUCAAAACUUAAACUCUUGUUUCGAUACAUCCUUCCUACAAGUAGGUCCUCCCUAUCCGCAACCCGACGAUUGCAAACGACAUGUUCCUGACGGCUGCCUUCUAAACCAAAACACGCUUUACGUGCAGCUUAGGGCACUGGUAAUUCCACUUAUUACAACUUUCCGUUUACUCAAUCCGGACUAAAUCCAAAAACGGGACCAAAGUAGAGCGUGCAUACGAUUAGUUUGUUGAAUUAGUUUCUCGGGGUACAACUUCGACAGGAUUCAAUUUCCAUAUUAAUUAUUGUGUGUGUCAGUUUCGGUUAUCGCCCUAGGAAUCUGUUUUUCACUUCACGGAGCAUACAUUUCGAAAAGUUUCGGAUUCGGAUUUUUGCGGAUCAGAUUCUAAGCCGGCUUGAAGGGAGAAAGGUCGUUUAAACUGCUGGGAAUCGACUGCUGUGACACCAGUUGGCUUACUUGCCUACACGCUUUUGUAUAGUGAAUUUUAAUCUUGUAAGAAUUGCAGCAGCUGAUGUCAUUUGCGUGAAAAGGUUAAUGCGGAUGACAGAUAUGUGUGAAUUCAAUAACAUAUAACGGUGAUAUUCAAACCCACUAAUCCACAUAUCCAUAAGCAACCCAAGUAACCAAAUAGCACUUUGAUUCGCCCUCCGUGUUAAUAGAGGGCUAUUAUACAGCUAACAUAACCUAUAUUAGCCGUAUAAUAGCCCUGUUAGCCCAAAAAGGCGAACUAGUGGGCUAGAGAUUACUUGGGAACAGUGAAUAAACGAAAGAAGACGUGAUCUUUUAAGAGGUUUUUUUUCCAAAACGGUGUCCAAGAAGGAUUGACACUGCUUUCGCCAACGGGUCCAACAAAAAAUCAAAGACACAGGUCCACGCAAACUUCGAUAAACGAUUAAUCACUUUAAAACGUAGCACUGAAAAGUACUGAAAUGCAAUAAAUUCAGGUAGUUGCAAAACUUCCGUCAGCAGAAACAAAAGUACGAUGCGCACUAACCAAGUCCUAACUAAAAGAAAUUACUUUCAACCUCCACACCACCCCACCCCUCACAAAUGAAACUGUGUCCAUCCAAUAAAAACUCAUUAAAGCAGAUACGUUUUAUUUUGUUCCAAAAAUUCCAUUACUCCCACCCUCCCGCACUGAUUUGCAUAGCAGCCGUUCCAUAAAAUUUGUUUGGCAAACAUACUGUUCCAGACCCCACACACACAAUGCCACAAGACACAGUGCGCACAGUGCACACGGAGUUUUAACUCAAACUGUGUGAUAACAUUUCACACCAACCAACGCUCACGUGGCUCUCCAGCAAAAAAUGGGAAAAAGUUCAGCUACUCUAUCUGGUGGACCCCUUCGGAGCUUCCAGCUCUUCCCAACCAUGCCUAACUUUAUCAACAGACCAAGUUCGGUUCCUGUGUCACGUCACAACCGCAAUUUAUUUUCCGUUAUUCCAUUUCAUAUUCUCUGUUCUACAACUGUGCCAACUCUUCGCAGAGAAGUGCAUAUCGAUUUCAAUACCGGCGUAAAGCAGGGUGAAUUGUGCAAAAUGUAACUUAUGAGGAUUUGUGUUGUUUUCUACUAAAAGAAUCUACAUUUCAAAGCCAUUCGAAAUGUUAAUAUGUAGUAGCUAUGCAAUGUGUGAUAGCUACCACCGUGAAUUUUUUUCACAAAUUUCAACUACUUUACUCUUUUGAAUCUUGGGUAGAACGCCAAUUACUAUAGAAGAGUCAACAACCAAGCUUCUCCAUCAGUUUGCUCCGAUGCUUGAAAACGCUUGAAAAGCUUAUGACCGUGGAAAAAUUGAAAAAUGGUUGGAUAACAUCGGAAAAUUCAAGGAAAUAUGCGUUUAUCUCCAAGGCUUGUAUCUGCUUUUUUUGGAUACACCUAUUUUUACAUCGUUUGGCAAAGAAUAUGAAUAUAAAAAUUCUAAGAAUAAUUCAAUGGGUCGAAUCAUUUAACCUCAUCAGUGGCAUUUUGGGCCAUACCCCCCUACCUUUCACCCAAAUAACCAGGGCUCCACUCCAGACUCUCUGGAAUGAUCGAAUCAUCUGGUUGGAAACAUUCUCCAUUCAACUUUUUAUUUUCGUUUCGCAUCUCCUUCAACCUUGUUAUUAUUAAUUUAAUGCCAUCAAUUUUGCUCUUACUUGCACGCCAGGUCCUUUUUUUUUUUCGUAGGGUAUGCUUGAGUUGGAGGUUUGUGCACUUUUUAGAUAUUUUAUCUUGGAAUUCAUUUGAAACUGCUUGAGAAUAAUUUACUGUGUUUAUCGUCGGAGUCGAAAUAGACAUAAUGGUUAAUUCACAGCUGUUAAACAAAAGCCAGAUCAAGGAUAACGAGUUCAAAUAUCGAUUAUGUUCAGAUUUUUUUUUCGUUGGAAAAUUUUUCAUACUUCCAGAGCAGCUUCGUGCUUGCUAAAAUGGAAAGCCGCUAAAAAGAGCUCUCCGUUCCCAUUUCGACAUUGAUUUUUCAUAAUCUUAUGUGGCUUAUGUGAAUUCAUCGAUUUCUCUUCAUCGUUGCUCUCUUUGCAUUGUUGCAGAAAACUGAUUCACUUUUCGCAACAUGUUUUCGUUGCGUAAGAUAAAGAACGAAUAUCUCGCUUCAUAGAUUAGAUGUUCUCUAAUUCUCUUUAAUUUGACGAAUUUGUUAGCGCAAGAGAGGUUCGAUAAAGAGAAAUCGAGUAUGUCAGUUAAGCCCAUAUGAAGGAACAUUGUCGAUUUGUGGAAAAGCCUCUUUGAACACAUUCUCGUCUGGUUUUUCAACGGUUUAAGAAUAAAUGGUCGAAACACAAAACAUCGACAAAGGCUGGUAGAAAUAAUAAUGACGUGCUAAGCAGGUUUAAUAAUACUCCUCAGCUACGAAAAAUGAGCAAGGAAGAUGCGACAUAAAACAUAAUGGAGGAUAAUUUCAUAAUAAGAGAGUGUCAUCACAACUCUGCGAGGCCUGUUUUGUUCAGACAGGUCAUUCUAAAGUUGUUUUAAAGCAUGAGUUAGGCUGAGCAUGCAAGCUAGAGAGAAAAAGUACUAGAAACAAAUCUCGCAUUUCGUUGCACUCUCAUUCAAAUCGCUUGAGAAUUCAUGUUGUGAGUUUUUAAUUCAAUUUUUACUUCUCACAAAAACUUCGAAAUUGCCCCAUUUUUGCAUCGCAGAGGAGUUUCUGUCAUUUUAUGUGGUGUGGUAUUACAUUUUUCUGUUGCAGAGCUGGUCACAGAUAUCGACAGAAUCCGAGUUUUUUUUAGUUUGCACAGCUCUUGUUCUGUACAAUUCGUUUCCUUUAGGCUAGUUUUUCUAUCCGAAAUCAAACAUAUCUGCUGCUUCCGCAAAUUGAAUUUGGGUUACGUCAAUGGAAUUCAAGCCAGCGAAAUUAAUUUUGUAUGGAUUCGAAUAGACUGAUAACAAGACAAAGUUUGACAAAUGCUUGUAAAAAUGCGCCAGCUAUAUGCUAAUUUGCCUUUGUGAGCUUGGUCUGCCAAAAACUUCAUUAAAACCAGUCCUUCAGAUCUACAAGCGUUACUAGGUUUAUAAAUACAGUAUUUACACACAUAGGCUCAUGAGAAUAUAUAUCGUCAAUUUUGGAGUCCGAUGACCGAUCAAGGUUAUACAAGAACUUCUUUGAGUGUAGGUCUUCAGAUCCACAAGCGCAACCAAUGAUCUGAUGCAGGAUUAGGAACAAGGUUGAUACCUAUUAGGACUACUAUAAUUACGAUCUACCAAGGUUUGAGUUAAUCGACUGUUCAAAAGUAGCCUAGAACUACUUGAAAUUCAGGUCAUCAGAUCUACAAGCAUGAUGGGAGGCGUUUAAUAACCAUUUAAUACAGCCUCAAAUAUCGAUACAGGCUCAAAUAGUUAGCUUCUAUCAAAUAUUGUUUUCUUGGAUAGCCUCAGAGAGCCAUUGGACUACAAAUUUUAUGGUAGUUUUUGAAUAUGUAGACACAAUCGUUGAUAUCAAUACUUGAUAAAACAUGUUCAACUGAGCCUGAUUGGGUGAUUUUUUUUAUUUCGUCAGUAAGGUUACUGACUGACUUACAGAUCUGUGAGCUUCUGCUCGAUGGAUUCAAAUUAUUUCUGGAAAAGAUAAACUUAGUUUACUAUAAUUGUAUGAGUCCGCAUGAAUGUGACCUUCUAGAUUAAUCGUUUGAUCUGAAGAACUAGGCUCAAGGAACUCUUGGAUAAUCAUAGAAAGCCAUUGGACUUCAUACAAUAUGUUUGUUUGAGUCUAUUUGGAUGUGAACCUUAUUUGUAAACCUUCGAAAGAUCUCUUGUCACGCGUGUAGAUACGAAGGCCUUCACUCAAAGACAUUGUUGAAUAAAUGUUUACGACUGUUGAUUUCGAAUUUCUAUACAACACAUUUGGUUGAUCCUGUUUGGGAGUAAAACUUAUUUAUUAACGUCAGAAAUGUCCCUGAGCUGAGAACAUAAUAUAUUAUAUGUUUUAAGUCGAACUCUGGUAAACUUGGGUGUAUCUAGGAAUUACAUCAGAGGGGGGCCAGCGACCUCAAAAGGAAUUUCAUACAAACGAUCAUUAUACACUUUAUCCUUUUUGCAUGAAACGUUUAACUUUGAAGGUCAUCCACAUCCUUUUCCUUUCAUAGUUGGCAAAGUGAAGCUCAAAAUGUGUCUUGGUUCAAUUUAUUGUCUGAGUAAUGGGUCCUUUGACGCCUUAAAAAAUUCCGGAAUGGACAAUGCAUCAAAAUUCGAUUGGUUUCAUUAAACGGCAGAAAAGCCACGGGAUAUUAUGAUUUCAUAAAGCUCAGCAAAGAAUUUUUAAAAAUAGAUUUAACAUGCAUUCGCAUAGGAGAGACUCCUAAAUUUCUCUGGGCAUAUCAGAAGUAUUCCUCCAAGGAAUCAGACAGAAUUUCCCACGGAAUUGUCUACGGAUUCGUGUAGAGAUUUUUUCAGGAUUUUGUAUUGAUUUUCCCUUCAGGUCAUUUGUAGUCUUCAAGGAGUUUUUCUAUUAGCUUCUCCAGGUAAUUUAUCGAAUUGAUUGCUUUAAAAACAGAAGACAUAAGCUCAUAAGUUCCACACAAAAAAAUUGAAAAAUUCCAUGUUUUAACCUAUUCCAAUACUUUUUUUUCUGACAUCCACUUAAUAUUUUUUUAAGAGUUCAACUGUAUAUUUUAUUUUCUGAAAGAUGGUUUCAAAUAAUUCCUCUCUAAUUUAUUAAAGAAUAACACUCGAAAUUUCCAAUAAAGUUUGUUCAAAGAUAUUGUCAAUGUAUUCCAAGAAUCGUUUCAUGAUUUUCCAAGGAAUCCUUUCAAAUUUCUUAUAACUUUUUUUGAGAUAAAACCAAGAUAUUUCCUAAAACAUUACUCUUGGUAAUUUAGCUGGAGCUCUUGUAAAAUUAUCCAUGAAUUUAAUAAAAAAAAUCUUUUAUCGACUUCUUUCCUGAAAAAUUUCUCUGUAAAUCCUUAUUGGAGUUUAUCAUAAUUUCUUCCAUAGAUGUUUUAGAUUUUUUUUUUCAGAUCGCCAUUAUUCCAACAUGCAUUUAUCAUAUGAGAAUUUAUUCACGAAUUUCAUUAGAAACUUCUCUAAAAUAGUGGGAAUAAAUUCCCUAGAAGCUGUUCUUAAAACUUUCCAAAGGAUAAUUUUAAAGAAUUCCCUCUGAAUUUCACAUUUCAGAUUUCUAAAUAAAUGUUACCAAUAAUGCAUCGAAAAUUCAUCAAGGAGAUUCUUAUGGCAUUCCUACUAUAAAUACUCUAUAAACUCUUUCAAGAACUCCUCCAUGGAUCUAUCUAGAAUUUUUUUUAAGAAUAACCUAUGCAUAAACUUUUUGAAACCAAUAAGCAAUAUUCUGAAAACGAAAUCCUACGAAUUAUACAGAGAAAAUUUUGGUGUUCUAAGAGGCAUUCAUAGAUAAAUGUUAGAAAUAUCUGACGAAAAAACUGCCUAGAAAACAUUCUGCAGGAAUCGUCAUUGAAUGCUUUUUUAAAGAAUGGUAAAAAAUAUAUACAGCAAAUAUUUGUACACAUAUUAUAAUCCUGGAAGGUACUUUGCAAACUUCUUCAAGCUCAAAAGGUAUAUCUAAAAAAUGUAUACGAUUGUGUCCAAACUAUUUAAAAUAAAUUACUUUGAAUUGAAAAUUUCUGAAAGAAUCUUUUAAAGAGUUCUUGAAGGAGUUCUAAAAUAUAUUUUUGAACAUUUCUUUUGAUUCUAAGAUCAAAUUUCAUCAAGAAUGUUAAAAAAUAUGAAGAAUUUGAACUUUUUCAGGAAUUUAUGAAGGGUUUUAUGAAGUUAUUCAUAAAUUACAAGAAAUGUCUUAAGGAAAAUAUAUAAUUCUUAAGGCGAGAUUCCGGGUUUACUUCUGACCGAGUUCAAGAGGAAUCGCAUGAAAAAUUUCCUAAAGAAAUAGAAGAAUUUGUUAUGCGAAUUAUUGGAGGAGUUUCUAUUAACUGUUCAGUAAGUUAUUUGUUAGAACUCUUGAAACAAUUAAUGAAGCCUUGUAUUUUGAAUAAAGUUCUGGUAGCACUACAAAAAAAACCCGAAUGACCAAAACAAUUAAAAGGUCUUUAAUAAAGCUCAAACUCAACUACAAAAAUACAUUCCCCAACAAUACCUUUGAGUUGUUGUUGAAGACUCAUUGAAUAAAUUCGAGGUAAUCCGAGCAAAGGCUUCUGGGAUUAACAUUGGAGUGAAUUUA